AUGAGGAACACGUUUUUGCCGUGUUUCCUUCUCCAGUUUAAAAAUCAAGUCAGGUAUAAACUCCCUUCACCUAGACUCUCUCCUCCACCACACUAGAGGUUGCCUCCGACGACGGAGGAGCUUUAAUCUUCACACCAAAUACAUCAUCAUAUUUCUCUCCCUCCACUGAUUUUGAAUCUCAAAACCAAAUUUUACAAACCUUAACCAAAUAUCCAAAUCGAAUAAAACUAUCUAUGGACCCUAGGAACUAAAUGGAAAAUUAAACUGUGAAUCUUUGGAAUCAAAGCCCUAGAGGUUAGGGCUUUGAUUCCCCUAACCGUAAUCUACAUCUUGGUAACAAGCUUGAGGAAAAUGGUGAAGGAAAUUGAGAACUCACUGGCACGGAGGUCAUCGGAGUUUCAGGUGUAGGGUUGUUGGCUUGGAAACUGGUCAUUCAAUGCAAGUUUCAAGGAAAAGUUCAAUGCAUGGCAAGUGUUCAAGGCAUGACCAAGACUAACUUUGGCACAAAUUAAAGUUUCUUGUUCAUGAAGCAUGUUAAUGAUGGAACUUCGUGCAAGAAUGGAGAUGCAAUGUACAUUAGGGUUUAGGGAAUAAAAAGUAGGUCAAAUUAUCAACUUCGAUGAAUGACUUCCAUGAACAAAACAAGCUUGAUGAUUGAUUAUUCAUGACAUGGUGGUCAAGGACCACACUCCAGUGAAUUAGGGUUCCAGUCAAUCCCAAGGUCAAAAGUCAAGCCCACAUGGCCCACAAGUACCAAGUAUCUAUGAUUAGGGUUUCAAGAUGUAAACCAUCAAAUCAAGUGCCUUAAACCAAGAACCAAGGCUCUAUAAUCAAUUCUUUAAUAAAAGGCCCCAAGACUAUGGUUUAAUGAUCAAGUUAGUGCUCAUAAGGUCAUUCACAAGUCCCAUGAGUAGCAAAGCCAAGAAUUAGGGUUUUGGUGCACAGGUGAAAACCAUGUUUGCAAUCUCCAUGAAUCAAGGUCCCAAUCAUAAGAAAUUUAGGUUUCACCUCCUUGAUUAAGAUGAUGAGCAUCACCAUAAUCCUAGGGCUUGAUCUACAAGCAAACCCUAGCCUUCAUAACCAUACACUUUGAAUCUAUAAUGAUUAUUAGAAAGUGCUAACAUGAAUGAACGAUGCACAUGUAUUUGCUAUGAAUGAGUGCAUAUAAAUCUCAAGGCAAAGGCUAGAUGAAAAGUGAAAAGGGAAGGGAAAAUUUUGGAGUAUGACAACUGCCUCUAUUUAAUCAUGUUGAACCUGAAUGCCAGAAUUAUGACAAUUUUUUAGGUAUUCAAGGUAGAAGAGGAUUAAAUACCCAAAUAUCUGAAAUUUUACCUGUUUAAGAACGGUUAUAAUGAGAUACAAACAAAUAUAUAUUGAAUAUGGAAUGGCAGGUAGACUUUUAUAGGUUCAUCUGUUGGGGAUUGAUUGAAAUACUUUGUGGGGAAGUAUAUCCAACAUAAAGGGAAAGCAUGAUAUGCAUGCUAUAUGCAAUGUACGAUGGAUUUAUUUAUGAUGCAUGAAGUUAUGCACCCUAUGUAGAAAUGCAGUUUAUUUUAGGGUAGACGAAUAAUAUUCACAAAGGUAAGAUUCCUGGUGUAACACCUGUUGGAGAAACUAUGAUUGCAUGGUCGAGUGCUGGAAAAUGAUUUAAACAGAUGAGUGUCAGUGGUUAAUAUGGAAGAGUAUUGAAAUGGUAGGACCAACAUGGACAAAUAUUGGAGUCAGUACGGAUGAGUAUUAAAAAAAUUUAGAAUCAACACAAAGGAGUAUUGAAAACCAAUGCAGACAAGUACUAAAAAGGGAAUGUCAACAUGAACGAGUGUUGGAGAUCCAUACAUAUGAGAUUGAGAAAAGGAUGUACCAACACAGACGAGUGUUGGAUACCAAAAUAGACGAGUAUUACAAAAGGUUUAGAAUCAACACAGAAAGGUAUCAAUACAAACAAGUACUAAAAAAGGAAUGCCAACACAGAAGAGUGGUUUGGAAAAUAUGUUAGCAGGGACAAAUGUUUAGAAGGAAGAAUAAGGUCCUUUAUGCAAGGCACCAAGUUUGGCUUAUGCUUUGUAUGCAUGUUUGAAUUUCUGUCGCAUAAUAUUCCAUCUUGAUGGAUAUAUCACACAUUUUUAGAGAUUCAAUGAUAUGCAAUGAUGAUUAUUGUAUGCAUGAUGCAAGUAUAGUUGAAUUUUGUGGUUUACCAAGCAAAGUUUGGGCUUCGGAUGUGCCAAUAAGAAUUGAGCUUUAGAUGUGCCAAUAAGAACUGGACUUUGGAUUUCUUGUUUGCAAUGCUUCAUGAUAUGCUAAUGAAUGAUAUGCAUGAGUGAAGUGACAUGAUUAAUGCACAGUGAUGAUUUGUGUACUGGUUAAACCAAAUUCUCAUGUGGCGGGAGGUGGGAGCUUUAACGAUAUGAUAAGGGUCAUAAAUAUGUGAUUCUCCAACACCUACUCCAAGCUCAACAGUUGUUGUCACCCCUCUAGACUUGAUUUGAAACAUGGAGAGAGCUUGUACCUUUAUAGCCUGCCUCUGCCCUAGUUUGUCGGGUUUCUGCUUGAAUUUCUCUAGUCACAAGUUAUAAAGAAGUCUUGUCACAUGAUAAUCUCAACCUGACUUGCCACAGUGUCUUGAAACUGUAUCUCCCUGAUUAAACAUUUCCGAAAGUGAUAAACUUCUUGUGCUCUUGAGGUGGCCUGCCCUACUACGAGCCUUGAAGUAACUUUUCCCCUAUCUGGCUGAUUCAGAGAGAUUUAUUGAAUCUCGAUGUGAUUGCCCCAUAUUAACUGAAUCUUGUAGAGACUUUCCCUUUGGAGUGAUCAAAAGAAUGUCCAAUCUUAUGAUUGUAUAAGCUUCCUUGAUGUUAAGUGCUUUUCGCAACAAAAAUGCUCAUUUUGAAAAUGAUAAUUGUAAUGUUAUGAUCA